UACGAAGGGGGCUAGCGUUGCUCGGAAUCACUGGGCGUAAAGGGUGCGUAGGCGGGUCUUUUAAGUCAGGGGUGAAAUCCUGGAGCUCAACUCCAGAACUGCCUUUGAUACUGAGGAUCUUGAGUUCGGGAGAGGUGAGUGGAACUGCGAGUGUAGAGGUGAAAUUCGUAGAUAUUCGCAAGAACACCAGUGGCGAAGGCGGCUCACUGGCCCGAUACUGACGCUGAGGCACGAAAGCGUGGGGAGCAAACGGGG
rnacentral:rRNA from 1 species